AGUGAACGCUGGCGAUAGGCCUAACACAUGCAAGUCGAACGGCAGCACAGUAAGAGCUUGCUCUUACGGGUGGCGAGUGGCGGACGGGUGAGGAAUACAUCGGAAUCUACUUUUUCGUGGGGGAUAACGUAGGGAAACUUACGCUAAUACCGCAUACGACCUACGGGUGAAAGCAGGGGAUCUUCGGACCUUGCGCGAUUGAAUGAGCCGAUGUCGGAUUAGCUAGUUGGCGAGGUAAAGGCCCACCAAGGCGACGAUCCGUAGCUGGUCUGAGAGGAUGAUCAGCCACACUGGAACUGAGACACGGUCCAGACUCCUACGGGAGGCAGCAGUGGGGAAUAUUGGACAAUGGGCGCAAGCCUGAUCCAGCCAUACCGCGUGGGUGAAGAAGGCCUUCGGGUUGUAAAGCCCUUUUGUUGGGAAAGAAAAGCAGCAGGUUAAUACCCCGCUGUUCUGACGGUACCCAAAGAAUAAGCACCGGCUAACUUCGUG
rnacentral:rRNA from 1 species